UUAAUUGAAGAGUUUGAUCAUGGCUCAGAUUGAACGCUGGCGGCAGGCUUAACACAUGCAAGUCGAGCGGUAGCACAGGGGAGCUUGCUCCCUGGGUGACGAGCGGCGGACGGGUGAGUAAUGUCUGGGAAACUGCCUGAUGGAGGGGGAUAACUACUGGAAACGGUA
rnacentral:rRNA from 1 species